rnacentral:rRNA from 1 species
CAGUCGCCGCGGUAAUACGUAGGUGGCAAGCGUUGUCCGGAAUUAUUGGGCGUAAAGGGCUCGCAGGCAGUUUCUUAAGUCUGAUGUGAAAGCCCCCGGCUCAACCGGGGAGGGUCAUUGGAAACUGGGAAACUUGAGUGCAGAAGAGGAGAGUGGAAUUCCACGUGUAGCGGUGAAAUACGUAGAGAUGUGGAGGAACACCAGUGGCGAAGGCGACUCUCUGGUCUGUAACUGACGCUGAGGAGCGAAAGCGUGGGGAGCGAACAGGAUUAGAGACCCCGGUAGUCCCUGUCUCUUAUAC